UGCAGUCGAGGGGCAGCGAGGGCGUAGCAAUACGCCUGUCGGCGACCGGCGCACUGGUGAGUAACACGUAUGCGACCUGCCCCCUACAGGGGUAUAACCCGUAGAAAUGCGGACUAAUCCCCCAUAGUCCUGGGUGCUGCAUGGCAUUCAGGGGAAAGGCCAGCCGGUAGGGGAUGGGCAUGCGGCGCAUUAGCUAGUUGGCGGGGCAACGGCCCACCAAGGCGACGAUGCGUAGGGGUUCUGAGAGGAAGGUCCCCCACACUGGUACUGAGACACGGACCAGACUCCUACGGGAGGCAGCAGUGAGGAAUAUUGGUCAAUGGGCGCAGGCCUGAACCAGCCAAGUCGCGUGAGGGAAGACGGUCCUACGGAUUGUAAACCUCUUUUGUCGGGGAGUAACGUGCGGGACGCGUCCCGUAUUGAGAGUACCCGAAGAAAAAGCAUCGGCUAACUCCGUGCCAGCAGCCGCGGUAAUACGGAGGAUGCGAGCGUUAUCCGGAUUUAUUGGGUUUAAAGGGUGCGCAGGCGGCGCGCCAAGUCAGCGGUCAAAGUUCCGGGCUCAACCCGGUGUCGCCGUUGAAACUGGCGUGCUCGAGUGCGUGCGAGGAAGGCGGAAUGCGUUGCGUAGCGGUGAAAUGCAUAGAUAUGACGCAGAACUCCGAUUGCGAAGGCAGCUUUCCAGCGCGCUACUGACGCUGAGGCACGAAAGCGUGGGGAUCGAACAGGAUUAGAUACCCUGGUAGUCCACGCAGUAAACGAUGACUACUAGCUUUCCGGGAUGAUUGAGUCCU
rnacentral:rRNA from 1 species